rnacentral:snRNA from 1 species
GAAUAGGGUGCAGUCUGGCUGCUACGUCUGUCUCUCCUUUGAUUGCUGGGGUUUUCAGCAGAUCUGGCCCCUUAGGCUGUGUCUCCUUCCCCCCUCACUGUCACAUAUCUGUCUCUCCUAAAGCUGUGCACUCCAUGGAAGGUGGAAGAGGAUGACUUUGCCCAAGGAUGAUGACCUUCCCUGAUCAGAAGAGGAGUGAUCUUCAGUCAAGGGUAUGUGAGUAACUGCAGUCCCAUACUAGAACCUCCAAAUAACUUUUCCAGUUCCAAAUAUGGUUACAAAAUUCAUCUCUUAUUUGAAGCAGAUUUGUUUUAUUU